UACGAAGGGGGCUAGCGUUGCUUGGAAUCACUGGGCGUAAAGCGCACGUAGGCGGAUUGUUAAGUCAGGGGUGAAAUCCUGGAGCUCAACUCCAGAACUGCCUUUGAUACUGGCGAUCUCGAGUCCGGGAGAGGUGAGUGGAACUGCGAGUGUAGAGGUGAAAUUCGUAGAUAUUCGCAAGAACACCAGUGGCGAAGGCGGCUCACUGGCCCGGUACUGACGCUGAGGUGCGAAAGCGUGGGGAGCGAACAGG
rnacentral:rRNA from 1 species